AGAAGCUGAAAACAACCUAGAUGUCCCACGACCGAAAAAUGGAUACAGAAAAUGUGGUCAUUUCCACAUGGAAUACUACUUGGCUAUUAAGAAUGAGGACAUCCUGAGUUUUGCAGGCAAAUAGAUGGAACUAGAAAAUAUCAUCCUGAGUGAGGAACUAUUCAGUACUAAUUUCCAGCAGCUCCUUUUGCUCUGGUGAGGAUAAAGUCAAUAAGAUAAUAUUUUCUCACAAAGAAAUGGAGAAGAACAAAAAAUAAGGUUGUCUGAUGCUAAUACUAUGAAUAAUAAUCAAAGAGAGCAAAGGCCUGUGAAAAUGAAGGGUUCAAGAAUACAGCCUAUCUUAUGCUACCAUAAUUUAGAAUACAGGAGAUGGCUAACCCAUGGGACUUGGAAAAUCCAGGAUUAACUAGUUAAACUGUCCAGAAAGCUCUGAUCUCAGCUGUUCACUGAACAGAACAGAUUGCCUCCCAAGUGCUUCUCAGCCAUUCGGUAUUCCUCAGAUGUGAGAGAGCCAUAAGCAAAGACAAGUCUGGCUUGAGUAGAAGUCUUGUAUCAUUCACUGAAGAAAGGAGUAAACAACUGAGGAAGAUCAUGGCACCCAUUGGCAUCCACAUGUAUCUGAAAAGAAGUCCAUGUGCCCUCCCUGCAUGCAUGUGAAAACGUACAUGCGUGCACAACACAGAUGCAGAAUGACUUUCUAGUAUUGCAUCAAGCUAUUGGACUAUGAUUAGCUGCGAUGUUAAUUUCGGGUAAAGUGAUGCUUCUGCAUCAUCUUCCUCAGAAGAAAGAAUGAUCAGUUGUACUGCACUGG
rnacentral:lncRNA from 1 species